CCACGCGGAGGGAUCAUUACCCGAGUUUACAACUCCCAAACCCAAUGUGAACGUUACCAAACUGUUGCCUCGGCGGGAUCUCUGCCCCGGGUGCGUCGCAGCCCCGGACCAAGGCGCCCGCCGGAGGACCAACCAAAACUCUUAUUGUAUACCCCCUCGCGGGUUUUUUACUAUCUGAGCCAUCUCGGCGCCCCUCGUGGGCGUUUCGAAAAUGAAUCAAAACUUUCAACAACGGAUCUCUUGGUUCUGGCAUCGAUGAAGAACGCAGCGAAAUGCGAUAAGUAAUGUGAAUUGCAGAAUUCAGUGAAUCAUCGAAUCUUUGAACGCACAUUGCGCCCGCCAGUAUUCUGGCGGGCAUGCCUGUCCGAGCGUCAUUUCAACCCUCGAACCCCUCCGGGGGGUCGGCGUUGGGGAUCGGCCCUUUACGGGGCCGGCCCCGAAAUACAGUGGCGGUCUCGCCGCAGCCUCUCCUGCGCAGUAGUUUGCACACUCGCAUCGGGAGCGCGGCGCGUCCACAGCCGUUAAACACCCCAAACUUCUGAAAUGUUGACCUCGGAUCAGGUAGGAAUGCCCGGCUGAACA
rnacentral:rRNA from 1 species